CUCAUGACAAUGACAAUAGUUUUGAACGCCUUGAUUUAAUGCAAACAAGCAGAGGCAAAUAAGUAGAGAGGUAACAGUGCUCAUUGCUCUGCUUAAGAAGUUGCUCUUCGGUUAUCUAUAUUCUUCAGUAUAGCAUUAGGGUCAAUGUGCGCCUCUAGAUGAAAUUGUGGUUUUUGUGGCUAUAGUUUCAACAAGCGAUUUUUUGUUUUUCCAGUAGAGGUGAGCCUCGGCGUAACAGUAAGGUGACCUGAAGGUCUAGAGUUCAAAUCAUGGAAACAUAUAUUUCAUUUGUAAGAGUAAGAUUGCGUACAUCUAACCUCCUAGACCCACUAGGUGGGAGCCUCAUGUACUAGACCACUUUUUCUGUUGAAGUCUUUUAAGCUAAAUAGUAAAUACUAAGGAACUUGGCAUUAUCUUUGCUCAUGACUAAGGAACUAGCAUCGUGUCAUUACCAAAAUACAUAGGGACUUGGUUUGCAGUGGACUAUGCUCUUUAAUUUUUCAGUAUAUAGUACCAUUUCUUUUUGGAGGGUGUCUUUUCCAGCAAAACCAUUAAGGGAUAUUGACUAGUAUGAAUGAGAAAACAGAAUAGUUUAAUACUCAAUUAAAGUCAAUUAACUUGUUCUUUUCUUUUGACAGCAGUUCUGAAGUUGGCAUAAUCUUCCAUGCAAUGGAUUCAGUGGAAUCACCACCUACAUUUUAGGACCAACAGUUUCACAAGUCCAUAUCAGGAAAUUGUUGAUGCAUAUGGGUGAGCGUAAUAUUUAUUGCGUUUAGUUGUAGCAACAAGAAUACUUUAAUAUCUUGAAAUGAUGUUUUGGAGUGUCUUGUAGAACAUUAUUUUUCUUCAAAUUACAAAUGUGUGGCAAUAUGCUAUCCCUCUCUGGCUCUAUAAAAUAGAUUGAUAAAAUUCUGGUUAGUGUAAGUAGAAUUGUUACAAAGAAUUUUGACCUAAAUGGUCUAUAGUUGACUCCACAUAGUGGCUAAAGGCUUUGGUUGUUGUGUAUGUCGAAUUGGAGGAAUGUAUGUUCUAUGUCUAUGUUGUAG